GACGAACGCUGGCGGCGUGCUUAACACAUGCAAGUCGAACGAUGAAGAAGAGCUUGCUCUUCGGAUUAGUGGCGAACGGGUGAGUAACACGUGACUAACCUGCCCCUUUCUCUGGGAUAACGCUCCGAAAGGAGUGCUAAUACCGGAUACUCACAUCGAGGCACAUGCCUUGAUGUGGAAAGUUUUUCGGAAAGGGAUGGAGUCGCGGCCUAUCAGCUUGUUGGUGAGGUAACGGCUCACCAAGGCGACGACGGGUAGCCGGCCUGAGAGGGCGACCGGCCACACUGGGACUGAGAACCUGCCCAGACUCCUACGGGAGGCAGCAGUGGGGAAUAUUGAACAAUGGGCGAAAGCCUGAUGCAGCGACGCCGCGUGAGGGAUGAAGGUCUUCGGAUUGUAAACCUCUUUCAGUAGGGACGAAGCGAAAGUGACGGUACCUAAAGAAGAAGCACCGGCUAACUACGUGCCAGCAGCCGCCGUAA
rnacentral:rRNA from 1 species